AUUUUUACUGAGAUUGAGAAGAACCCAGCAAAAUGGGGAUCUCCACAGUCAUCCUUCAAAUAUGUCUUUUAUUGGGUCAAAUUCUAUCUACAGCAACAUCAACAACGAGACACACCACAGAUACUACCUUCUGGGAAUUACUCAGCUCUGUUUCUGAGUCAGAUCCUCCCAGAACACGUGAUCAAGAGAAUUUCCAGACUAUAAACGAUGUUAUAUUUGCCACAGAGGAACUCUCAACAGUGGGCCCAACAGAAGGUA